rnacentral:snRNA from 1 species
GGAAUAGUGCAGGGACUGUUAGCGUGGCCCCGGGCGAGGAUGACGUGCAGAUUCCUGAAGUG